rnacentral:rRNA from 1 species
AGCCUAACGGCUGAACCAGCAACUUGAAGGAACGAAAAACCGAAGUCAUGCUCGGUUACCAUGUUAAGAGAAUGUGGGGUAUUUUACUAAUAGUUCGAAGUAAAUCUUGAUAAUGACAUAAUUUGCUUUAAGGUCUUGACCUACUCAUGUGCCAGCAGUCGCGGUAAGACAUGGAAGGCCAGCGUUAUUCAUCUUUAUUAGGUUUAAAGGGUACCUAAGCGGUAGAUGUUAGCUUUUAUCUUUAAAGGUAAUCGUACUUUGUUUACUAGAGUUUUAUGUAAGGAGGUUCAGAUGAGUGAGUGUAGGGAUAAAAUCUGUUGAUACCACUUUAAACUGGUUUAGUGAAGACAGGGUCUUAUGUAAAAACUGACCUUGAGGACCAAGCUCGAAAAGAACGGAUUAGUUCCCCAGUCUUAGAGCGCCAAAGAUAAUGCCAUGUAUAAGAAAUUUUUAUAUAUAAAUGAAAGUGUAAGCAUUUCACUCAAGAGUAAUAUGGCAACAUAUAAACUGAAAUCAUUAGGCCGUUUCUGGAACUCGUAGUGAAAGUAUGUUAUUUAAUUUGAUGAUCCACAAAGGACCUUACCACUGUGUGAAUAGUUAUAUAUGUAAAUAUAUUUCGGACAAGCGCUGCAUGGCUGUCUACAGUUGAUAUCGUGAGAACUGAUUAGCUUCAUAAAUCAACGGAAUCCCUGACUUUACUUAAAGUAAAGUACUAAUUUCGACAUAAGAAUCCCUAUUCGAAUUUAAUACAUGGGAACAUGACAAGUCAUCAUGGCCAAACAUACAAAAUGAUAGUACAGUGGGCAAUAGACGUGCCACAUUUAGUUUUUACAAAAAGAUGCAUAAUCGUGAGAUUUAGCUAAUCUUCAAAAU